CGAAUUAGAAAAAGAAUAAUUAAUUGUUUUUAUACCACUCCAGGUGGCGUUCUACAUGUAAACAUUACUCAAUGGACUACGAAGGAGACUUUACAAUUAAUAACAAAUCUCAUGACUGACAAGCAUAGGCCUAUAUUUAAAUUGGACCUCGUUAGAAAUGGGCGUUCCUGAUGCUCGUGAUGUAGACAAAGAAGCCACAGCUAUCAGGAAAGAAUUUCCGGAUUGAAAGGGCAACAGAACUUACCAAUUAUUCAUAGAUAGCCACAAAUUGUGUCACUCAACAAGCUUCUGGAUAUGAAAUUAAUUCAAAUAUAGUGUGAAUUUUAUUUUUUAAAUGUUUGCCUCUCUGCAAAAAUCUACAAAACAAUGUUAGCAAUAUGUAUUAAUUCUUGUAGGCUGUAUGUUUAUCAAUAUUGUAUUAUUACUGCUAAUGUUUAUCUUAUUAAUAAAGUAACCCGUUUGUUGUAAAGAAUAUAGACAUGUAUUAAGAUAUAACAUUUUGAGGAUUAAAAUCAGGUCUAUUUAUUAUAAAAUGUAGGCCUAUACAUAUCCCAACUUGAUUUCAGUGCUUGAAAAUAAAUAUUAAAUGGAAUUGUGCAUCUCUUCUCAUUUUAUUUAAUGUCUGUGAUUACUGUAAUGAAUUAAAGAGCUAAAAUAUCCUUA